rnacentral:misc_RNA from 1 species
UUUCCGUAGGUGAACCUGCGGAAGGAUCAUUACAGAGUUCUUGCCCUCACGGGUAGAUCUCCCACCCUUGACUAUUUAUACCUUAGUUGCUUUGGCAGGCCGUGGAAACACCAUGGGCUCCAGCUUAUGCGUGCCUGCAAGAGGAAACAAACUCUGUUUUUAGUGAUGUCUGAGUACUAUAUAAUAGUUAAAACUUUCAACAACGGAUCUCUUGGUUCUC